rnacentral:rRNA from 1 species
GAUGAACGCUAGCGGCAGGCCUAACACAUGCAAGUCGAGGGGUAGCAGGAUUAAGCUUGCUUAAUUGCUGACGACCGGCGCACGGGUGCGUAACGCGUAUGCAACCUACCUUAUACUGGGGUAUAGCCCGGAGAAAUUCGGAUUAAUCCCCCAUAGUACUAAUGAAUCGCAUGGUUUAUUAGUUAAAGCAUUGCGGUAUAAGAUGGGCAUGCGUCCUAUUAGCUAGAUGGUGAGGUAACGGCUCACCAUGGCUACGAUAGGUAGGGGGCCUGAGAGGGUGGUCCCCCACACUGGUACUGAGACACGGACCAGACUCCUACGGGAGGCAGCAGUGAGGAAUAUUGGUCAAUGGGCGCAAGCCUGAACCAGCCAUGUCGCGUGCGGGAAGAAUGCCCUAUGGGUCGUAAACUGCUUUUAUUUGGGAAUAGACCUCUUUACGUGUAGAGAGCUGAAGGUACCAAAUGAAUAAGCACCGGCUAACUCCGUGCCAGCAGCCGCGGUAA